rnacentral:rRNA from 1 species
GCUUGCUAGAUAUGAUUAGUGGCGGACGGGUGAGUAACAUUUAGGAAUCUACCUAGUAGUGGGGGAUAGCUCGGGGAAACUCGAAUUAAUACCGCAUACGACCUACGGGUGAAAGGGGGCGCAAGCUCUUGCUAUUAGAUGAGCCUAAAUCAGAUUAGCUAGUUGGUGGGGUAAAGGCCCACCAAGGCGACGAUCUGUAACUGGUCUGAGAGGAUGAUCAGUCACACCGGAACUGAGACACGGUCCGGACUCCUACGGGAGGCAGCAGUGGGGAAUAUUGGACAAUGGGGGCAACCCUGAUCCAGCCAUGCCGCGUGUGUGAAGAAGGCCUUUUGGUUGUAAAGCACUUUAAGCAGGGAGGAGAGGCUAAUGGUUAAUACCCAUUAGAUUAGACGUUACCUGCAGAAUAAGCACCGGCUAACUCUGUGCCAGCAGCCGCGGUAAUACAGAGGGUGCGAGCGUUAAUCGGAAUUACUGGGCGUAAAGCGAGUGUAGGUGGCUCAUUAAGUCACAUGUGAAAUCCCCGGGCUUAACCUGGGAACUGCAUGUGAUACUGGUGGUGCUAGAAUAUGUGAGAGGGAAGUAGAAUUCCAGGUGUAGCGGUGAAAUGCGUAGAGAUCUGGAGGAAUACCGAUGGCGAAGGCAGCUUCCUGGCAUAAUAUUGACACUGAGAUUCGAAAGCGUGGGUAGCAAACAGGAUUAGAUACCCUGGUAGUCCACGCCGUAAACGAUGUCUACUAGCCGUUGGGGUCCUUGAGACUUUAGUGGCGCAGUUAACGCGAUAAGUAGACCGCCUGGGG